ACCAUGAGAUAGCUCAGUCGGCAGAGCAUCAAAUUUUAGAAUCCUAGAGUUGGAAGGGAACCCAGGGGUCAUCUAGUCCAACCCCCCACACACACAAUGCAGGAAGAGGCAGCUGUCUCUUGAGAUUCUUAAUCUCAGGGUCGUGGGUUCGAGCCCCACAUUUGGCA